UACAGAGGUGGCAAGCGUUGUUCGGAAUUACUGGGCGUAAAGGGCGCGUAGGCGGCCUUCUAAGUCAGACGUGAAAUCCCCAGGCUUAACUUGGGAACUGCGUCUGAUACUGGAUGGCUUGAGUGCGGGAGAGGGAUGUGGAAUUCCAGGUGUAGCGGUGAAAUGCGUAGAUAUCUGGAGGAACACCGGUGGCGAAGGCGGCAUCCUGGACCGACACUGACGCUGAUGCGCGAAAGCUAGGGGAGCAAACGGG
rnacentral:rRNA from 1 species